rnacentral:rRNA from 1 species
GACGAACGCUGGCGGCGUGCCUAAUACAUGCAAGUCGAACGCAGUGGGGAUGGGUGAGUAACACGUGGCUAACCUCCCAUCAGACGGGAUAAAAAUUGGAAAAAGGUGCUAAACCGACAUUGAAGGAUGUACCUGCGGUGCUUUAGCUAGUUGGUGAGGUAACGGCUCACCAAGGCAACGAUGCAUAGCCGACCUGAUAGGGUGAUCGGCCACACUGGGACUGAGACACGGCCCAGACUCCUACGGGAGGCAGCAGUAGGGAAUUUUCGGCAAUGGAGGAAAGUCUGACCGAGCAACGCCGCGUGAGUGAAGAAGGUUUUCGGGUCGUAAAGCUCUGUUGUUAGAGAAGCGGUAUCUAACCAGAAAGCCACGGCUAACUACGUGCCAGCCGCCGCGGUAAUUC